rnacentral:rRNA from 1 species
GAUGAACGCUGGCGGCGUGCCUAAUACAUGCAAGUCGAGCGAACAGACGAGGAGCUUGCUCCUUCGACGUUAGCGGCGGACGGGUGAGUCACACGUAGGUAACCUACUUAUAAGACUGGGAUCUCUUCGGGAAACCGGAUCUUACACCGGAUAAUAUUUCGAACCGCAUGGUUCGAUAGUGAAAGAUGGCUUUGCUAUCACUUAUAGAUGGAUCUGCGCCGUAUUAGCUCGUUGGGAAGGUAACGGGUUACCAAGGCAACUAUAGGUAGCCGACGGCAGCGGCGGAUCGCCGGCACGAGAGCGGAGACAGGCACCAGGCGCCUGCGGUAGGCAGCAGUAGGCAACCUGCCGCAGUGGGCGAAAGCCUGACGGAGCAACGCGGCGUGUGUGAUGGAGAUCUUCGGAGCGGAAAACUCUGUUAUGAGGGAUAAACAAACGUGUAAGUAACUGUACACGUCGUGACGGUACCUAAUCAGAAAGCCACGGCUAACUACGUG